ensembl:snRNA U6 U6 spliceosomal RNA
GUUUUUCCUUCAGAAGCACUACUACUGAAUUUGGAAUGAUACAAACAAUAUCAUCACGGUCCCUGCACAAGGAUGAUGGGCAAAUUCUUGAAGUGCAUCACUGUCAC